rnacentral:rRNA from 1 species
UGGGGAAUUUUGGACAAUGGGCGCAAGCCUGAUCCAGCCAUGCCGCGUGUCUGAAGAAGGCCUUCGGGUUGUAAAGGACUUUUGUCGGGGAAGAAAAGGCUGUUGCUAAUAUCAGCGGCUGAUGACGGUACCCGAAGAAUAAGCACCGGCUAACUACGUGCCAGCAGCCGCGGUAAUACGUAGGGUGCGAGCGUUAAUCGGAAUUACUGGGCGUAAAGCGGGCGCAGACGGUUACUUAAGCAGGAUGUGAAAUCCCCGGGCUCAACCCGGGAAUUGCGUUCUGAACUGGGUGGCUAGAGUGUGUCAGAGGGAGGUAGAAUUCCACGUGUAGCAGUGAAAUGCGUAGAGAUGUGGAGGAAUACCGAUGGCGAAGGCAGCCUCCUGGGAUAACACUGACGUUCAUGCCCGAAAGCGUGGGUAGCAAACAGGAUUAGAUACCCUGGUAGUCCACGCCCUAAACGACGUCGAUUAGCUGUUGGGCAGCCUGACUGCUUGGUAGCGAAGCUAACGCGUGAAAUCGACCGCCUGGGGAGUACGGUCGCAAGAUUA